UACAGAGGCCCCGAGCAUUAUCCGGAAUCACUGGGCGUAAAGGGUGCGUAGGCGGCUAUAUUAGUCGGGCGUUAAAUCCCGGGGCUUAACCCCGGACUCGCGUUCGAAACGGUAUGGCUAGGAGGAGUGAGAGGUGUGCGGAACUCAAGGUGUAGGGGUGAAAUCCGUUGAUAUCUUGGGGAACACCAAAUGCGAAGGCAGCACACUGGCACUCUCUCGACGCUGAGGCACGAAAGCGUGGGUAGCGAAUGGG
rnacentral:rRNA from 1 species